CUAGCUGUAAACGAUGGAUACUAGGCGUUGAGAGUAUCGACCCUCUCAGUGUCGUAGCUAACGCGUUAAGUAUCCCGCCUGGGGAGUACGCGCGCAAGCGUGAAACUCAAAGGAAUUGACGGGGGCCCGCACAAGCGGUGGAAUAUGUGGUUUAAUUCGAUGCAACGCGAAGAACCUUACCAGGGCUUGACAUGUCCGGAACCCUGCCCAAAGGCGGGGGUGCCUACGGGAACCGGAACACAGGUGGUGC
rnacentral:rRNA from 1 species